rnacentral:rRNA from 1 species
CCCGUGCCCCCGCCCUGCCCGCCGCGCGCGGCGGGCGGGGCGGGGGCACGGGGGGCCGACGGUGAGGGGUGAAAGCUAGGGGCACGAACCGGAUUAGAUACCCGGGUAGUCCUAGCCGUAAACGAUACUCGCUAGGUGUCGGCCACGGUGCGACCGUUGUCGGUGCCGUAGGGAAGCCGUGAAGCGAGCCACCUGGGAAGUACGGCCGCAAGGCUGAAACUUAAAGGAAUUGGCGGGGGAGCACCACAACGGGUGGAGCUUGCGGUUUAAUUGGAUUCAACGCCGGAAAUCUUACCGGGACCGACAGCAAUAUGAAGGCCAGGCUGAAGACUUUGCCGGAUUAGCUGAGAGGUGGUGCAUGGCCGUCGUCAGUUCGUACUGUGAAGCAUCCUGUUAAGUCAGGCAACGAGCGAGACCCACGCCCACAGUUGCCAGCGUACUCUCUGGAGUGACGGGUACACUGUGGGGACCGC